rnacentral:lncRNA from 1 species
UGGUAGUCAGAAAGCAUAAAUAAAUGUAUCUCAUAUGUUUCCAAUAUCUUUUCUUUCUAGAUAAGAUAAAUGUGGAACCCAUGCCUGCUCAAGCCUGUUGUGGGGUCAUGGUGCGCCCUCUGGUGGUCCACCUUUUUCAAUGGCUGCACCUGCCCAGAUGAGCAAACUAAGGGACUAACUCCUGCCCUCUCAGGUCUGCCUGCUGCACAAGAGAGAGAACGUCUAAAGAGAGAAGAAAAGGCUGAUGCUGUCCCAAGAAGCCCCAUGUAAUCUUAC